AGCCGCAAUCCGACUGGGAGGCGGCGGGGUAUCGCAGUGGAGCCCUCUGUGUUCCGCCCACUUCCGGGGCGGGGCGCGCGAGUGGCCCCGCCCACUUACUUCCGCCUCUCGGCGCAGUGGAAUUGAGAGUGUAGGGAAGGUUGAGGGUCUUGUGUUUGGUGCCACAGGCGCUGGUGACCCAAAAAGGUGCACUCAGGGUGCUUGACCUGGUUAGACCUGAAUUACUUUGAAAAAGCCAUCACAUGCCCACCAGUGUCAACAUGAUUUGAAACCUUAUUAAUGAAUUGAAGACUUUGUACUUUUGGGGUUUACCCUGAAAAUUAUCGUCCUUCGUCCUGAUAGAGUCCUUCCUUGCAUGCAAUUUAUUGAGUCGUGUACAUUUACUCAGUGUCAACUUUGAGCUGGGCGUUGGGCUAUGUUAGUAGAAUACAGAAAUGAGUAAGUCAAAGGCUGUCAGAUACUGCAGCUAAAGAAUUAAAAGGUUAAAAAAUAUUCAUUGCAUUUUUGUAAUUGUAAAAGUAAUACAUUUUGUAAAAAUUCAAAUAAUACAGAAAUAUAAAACAUAAAAUUUAUCCCAAUCCCUUUACCAAAACAUAUAAACAAUUUGGUGUACAUUACUGUAGAUUUACUAUAUGCUAAAUAUUAUUUACAAUAUGGAACUAGACCUUCUCUGCAACUUGCGUUUUUGUUUUAUCUAAUUAUUUCAAUUUGAGGUUUAUACGUGCCCAAAUAAUUUUGAAUAAAUGAAUGAGGAAAUGUAAACAAAACAAAGCAAAAACCUCUGUUCUGUUGUCACCCUUACCACUGACCGUUGAAUUGUUGACUGGAAAAAAGUGUACAACCUCAAGGUUGAGAAUUACGUUUUAUUCAGCGGACAUACGGAGGUAGCUCUGAGGGACUGUUCCGAAGACGUAAGGGAGGAGCCAGCAUAUAUACAAGUUUUUGCAAAAAAAUCAAGUAAUCAGAACAUCAAAAGGUUACUGUUAAUUAAAGACAUCUCAAGUUGAUGAAUUUAGUGCUUUUCUGUAUAUGGGAAGAUGCAAGAAUCUAGGCUCAUUGAAAGCACUUUGGAUGAGCACCUUAACUCCCUAGGGCCAGUAUCCUGGUUUUCUUCCUCCUGAAUCCUCUCAAGGUGCACAUUGCGGUGAGGGGGGUGCCAGUGGCUGAUGACUUGAUGGCUGCAGCAUCCUUUGUUUACUGAUAUGGCAAGGACAUUCUUUGUCCACAGGGCCAAUGACAUAAUGUGAAUCAUCUAAGUAAGAGUGUUAGUUAAUGCCGUUUGCAAUGCUCUGGACUGGGUAAUUUCUUAGUUUCCUCCAGCUAUAAGACUGUAUUGCUAUGUAAGAGGCUCUUUCAUCAACUGUUUAUUGACAGCCUACUUUGUGUCUGUCAAAGUGAGGGCUCUAGGGAUGCAGUGAUGAGUAAAAUAGAGGUUGUCACUCUUGUGGAAUUUACAGUCUCGUGGCUGUUCAUUAAAUAAGUUAUGGCUCAUUAGUGAGUUACGAAAUCAGUCUGGUGAGUCUCAAUUAGCGAGUGCUUUGUCAAAAAAAAAAA